GUACUUGCUUCGGCAGCACAUAUAAAAUUGGAAUGAUACAGAGAAGAUUAGCAUGGCCCCUGGGCAAGGAUGACUUGCAAAUUCACGAGGCGUUCAGAAUAAAU
rnacentral:snRNA from 1 species